AUUUUUAACAAAGGGGUGGGGGGGGAAAUAAAGCACGCAAAGCUACCCCAGGAUGGGCGGGUCUUGUGACGAGGAAGCUGAUGCCAGCGCAGCUUGUCCGUGCAAAACCUGCGCCUGGGCGGAGGAGGGUCACCGCGCCUGAAGGGUUAUGAUCGGCUAAGGCUGAAAAGCUCCUCGCCGGGACCCGCCACCGCUUUCCCUGCCCUCCCUUACCGAUCCCUGCACGGGAAGAGACGAACACGAACAAAACCCUCCCGGUUGGUCUCCGCAGAAGGAGGGGAGGAGCACGCCGGAGCUCCCCGGCAGGGCGCGGCGUCCAGUCUGUUGCUAAGGAAGCUACGGGCGGCGGCGAGGCCAAACUUCUUCUAAAAGGCGUAGGAAGGCGUGUGCCGUGAGCACGCUCGCAAUUGUCUUGUCCUCCCGGUUCGAGUGCAAACACGCAGUAUCGUUGUUUCCUUACUUUCUAUUAUAUAAUAAUAGCUGUCAGGAGUGCUACUUCUCAGGCUUCCAGCAAGACAGACACGCCCCUUGACAGAAGACUAUAAAUAGCUCAAGCCUCUGGGAUACUGCUUGCUGCUCAUCUCCACGUGUUUUGGCUCAGAUCAGAUAACAGAGGGAUAAGGGGGAGAGGCAGGAUGAGGCACACCAAUGGAAACCCAACAGAAAUCGGAGGCAUGGAAGGAGGUGGACUUAGAACCAUCCACAUAGGAAGCAGUGGGGCAAAGCAACCAGGCUCCCUCCUUAGCAACGGGUUGUAAUUCCUCUCUGUCUUCUUUUUGGAAUAUUAUCUGGUAUGAGAAAAAUGACGGAGGGAAAAGUGUGGGAAGGCAGUGAUUGGAAAAGAACGUCAUAUGGACAACAGAGAAUUAAUAAAAAUACAAGAAGCUUACUAUUUACAUUAAACCACAGUAUGGAUGAGACCUGAGUAUCUCUAUUUUGGUCAGGAUUCACCACUGGACUGUAGAAUGAGAGAGAAUGAUAAACCAUAUGUACAAAUGCAAGUUGAAUAAAGAUGUAUCCCAUUGUAGCCUAAUUAAUCUUUAUGCCAUAUUGCUUUUAAAUUAUAGCUGUAACAUAGAAUGAAAAUGCAGUUGUUUUCUAUCUUCUGUUAUCACUUCCAGUGUUAUGCUGUUUAUUUUGUUCUUCUUUG